rnacentral:lncRNA from 1 species
GUCCUGAAAAGAGUUAUUAAAAUUAAUCUGGUGGUUUUGAGUUUUGAUUCGGAUAUUUUGAAUCAUCCAUUGUAUGUGAUUGAAAACAACAUCAUUCCUUCAUUUGCAGAAAAAGGCAAGACGAGGUAAACCGAAACCUCGCUUGACGAGUGAAUAUGAAAUCUCCAGAUGAGGGAAAUUUUGGAGAUUAGGGCAUCUGGGAGGAAAAAAUGAUUAUCAACAAGAUCAAUGCAUUUACGGUCAAGGUGGCAUUUCAGAAAGAGGUAUUCCUGGUCCUCAAUAUGACUAACAGAGUGGGCAAGUUGGAUUAUGAAUUUUAAUACAAGAUAGAAGAGCAGGACCAAGGGAAAGAACAUUAUGAAAGAGUUUCCAGAGGAAGAAUUUAAGAUAGUGGGGACAUGUAUGUUUCAUACCAAUUUCUAAAAUUGAACGUCUUGAAUUUUGGCCCCAAAUGAACUUCUGAAUUAUCACCGAUAAGUUAGCCUGAUCAUGAGCAUAAGGAUAAGAAGAUUUAAUUUAGUCUAUUAAAUUUCUUAUAAAUUGAGAUAGGGAUACGAAAGUAUGACAUGGCAUAAAC